UAGUGUGGUUGAGCACAGAGAAUAAAAGGAAAUGAGAUGAGACUGAGGCAAAAUAAAUAGCAGGGUCCAGAUCAUGCACAACCUGUGUGUUAUAUUAAAGAUUUUGAAAUCUAUUCCAAGGGAAGUCACUGAAGGACUUUAAACUGAGAACAUGCACGGUCCUAUUUGUGUUUGAACAAGAACAUUCUAGCCAUAGCAUGAAGAAGGGCCAAAGUGAAUGCAAGGAGGCCAGAGAAGUUAGCUGUUGAAGAAGUCCAGGCAAGAGAUGAUGAUGGCUUGGACUGCAGUGGCAGCAGUAGGGAUGAAAAGAAGUGGACAGAUUUAGCCGGGCGCGGUGGCUCACGCCUGUAAUCCCAGCACUUUGGGAGGCCAAGGUGGGCGGAUCACCUGAGGUCGGGAGAUCGAGACCAGCUUUAUCCGCAAGGAGAAACCCUGUCUCUACUAAAAAUACAAAAAUUAGCUGGGCAUGGUGGUGCAUGCCUGUCAUCCCAGCUACUCGGGAGGCUGAGGCAGGAGAAUCGCUUGAACUUGGGAGGCAGAGGUUGUGGUGAGCCAAGAUUGUCCAUUGCACUCCAGCCUGGGCAACAAGAAAGAAACUCCGUCUCAAAAAAAAAAAGAAAGAAAAAAGAAAAAAGGAGUGGACAGAUUUGAGAGUGAGUGAUCUAGGAGGUGGAAAUGACGGAAGCUAGUGACUGAUCUUUUAUGGGUGUGUGUGUGUGUAUGUGAGAGAGAGGGAGUAGUCAAGUGGACUUUUAGUUCUCUGGUUUGAGCAGCUGGGUGGAUAGUAUUUCCUUACAGACACUGGGAGCACUAGAGGAUGAGGAAGUUGAUGGUAAAAGGUGAUAAGUUCUGUAUGAGACAUGUUCAAUUUAAGGUGUCUAUGAGAUUUCCUGAAUACGCAGGACUGAAGUUCAGAAGGCAAGUCUGGCCAGAAGGUGUGGACUUAAGAGUUCCAAGAUUUUUUUUUUUUUUUUUUUGAGACAGAGGCUUGCUCUGUCACCCAGACUGGAGUUCAGUGGCACAAUCUUGGAUCACUGCAACCUCUGCUUCCAGGGUUCAAGCAAUUCUCAUGCCUUAGCUGCCCCACUCUCACCCCCAGUAGCUGGGAUUACAGGUGCAUGCCACCACGCCCAGCUUUUUUUUUGUGUGUGUGUGAUGUAGUCUUGCACUGUUGUUCAGGCUGGAGUGCAAUGGUGCGAUCUCAGCUCACUGCAACCUCCACCUCCCAGGUUCAAGCGAUUCUCCUGCCUCAGCCUCCUGAGUAGCUAGGAUUACAGGUGCCCACCAUGCCCAGCUAAUUUUUGUAUUUUUAGUAAGAUGGGGUUUCACCAUGUUGGCCAGGCUGGUCUCAAACUCCUGACCUCAGGUGAUCCGCCCACCUCGGCCUCCCAAAGUGCUGGGGUUAUAGGCAUGAGCCACCGCACCUAGCCCUAAUUUUUGUAUUUUUAGUAGAGACAGGGUUUCACCAUGUUGGCCAGGCUGGUCUUGAACUUCUGGUCUCAAGUGAUCUGCCCACCUUGGCCUCCCAAAGUGCUGGGAUUACAGGCAUGAGGCACUGCA
rnacentral:lncRNA from 1 species